rnacentral:tRNA from 2 species
UGGGGUGUCGCCAAGUGGUAAGGCAGCGGUUUCUGGAACCGCCAUUCGGGGGUUCGAAUCCCUCCACCCCAGCCA